rnacentral:rRNA from 1 species
CCUACGGGAGGCAGCAGUAGGGAAUCUUCCACAAUGGGCGAAAGCCUGAUGGAGCAACGCCGCGUGGGUGAAGAAGGUCUUCGGAUCGUAAAACCCUGUUGUUAGAGAAGAAAGUGCGUGAGAGUAACUGUUCACGUUUCGACGGUAUCUAACCAGCAAGCCACGGCUAACUACGUGCCAGCAGCCGCGGUAAUACGUAGGUGGCAAGCGUUAGCCGGAUUGAUUGGGGGUAAAGGGAACGCAGGCGGUCUUUUAAGUCUGAUGUGAAAGCCUUCGGCUUAACCGGAGUAGUGCAUUGGAAACUGGGAGACUUGAGUGCAGAAGAGGAGAGUGGAACGCCAUGUGUAGCGGUGAAAUGCGUAGAUAUAUGGAAGAACACCAGUGGCGAAAGCGGCUCUCUGGUCUGUAACUGACGCUGAGGUUCGAAAGCGUGGGUAGCAAACAGGAUUAGAUACCCGAGUAGUC